UUUUUCAUAACUCACCUGUGCACCUAAUGUAGGAUGCUCCUCUUUCGGGAGGGGGGACCUAUGUCUUUGUAUAACUCUUCGUGUAGAAAGUCUUAGAAUGUUUACUAUCAGAGAGUCGCGACUUCUAGGAGACUGCGAAUCUUUGAGAUAAAAGUUAUUACAACUUUCAGCAAUGGAUCUCUUGGCUCUCGCAUCGAUGAAGAACGCAGCGAAAAGCGAUAUGUAAUGUGAAUUGCAGAUCUACAGUGAAUCAUCGAAUCUUUGAACGCACCUUGCGCUCCUCGGUGUUCCGAGGAGCAUGCCUGUUUGAGUGUCAGUAAAUUCUCAACCCCUCUUGAUUUGUUUCGAGGGGGAGCUUGGAUUGUGGGGGCUGCCGGAGACUAGGACUCGUCCUUGACUCGGGCUCUCCUUAAAUGCAUCGGCUUGCGGUCGACUUUCGACUUUGCGCGACAAGGCUUUCGGCGUGAUAAUGAUCGCCGUUCGCUGAAGCGCAUGAAUGAAGGUUCCGUGCCUCUAAUUCGUCGACUUAGUAUCUCUUCCGAGAGAAAACGUCUUCUUCAUUGACUUUUGACCUCAAAUCAGGUAGGA
rnacentral:rRNA from 1 species